AGGUGCGAUCAUACCAGCACUAAUGCACCGGAUCCCAUCAGAACUCCGCAGUUAAGCGUGCUUGGGCGAGAGUAGUACUAGGAUGGGUGACCUCCUGGGAAGUCCUUGUGUUGCACCUC
rnacentral:rRNA from 13 species